GAUAAAUAGGAAAUAUGUAUAAAAAAUAUUUUGUGAGUAGUAUGUUUAUUUCCCAUUGUGGAUAUUACUGGGUUCUAAGUACCAAUUUUCCCGAUUUCUCGACCAACUUUUUCUCGAGAUUCGGGAAUAGGAAAAUGAAAAAAAUCUCGAGAACAUACAUAUAUUGUGUGGGUGCGUGCGUGCACCCACAAUCAACACCCACUAUAGAGAAAGCCUACCAACCUUAAAAUGACGUCACUGAAAGUAGACCAUUGGCAAUAACCGGGCAAUAACUGGAAGACAUGAUAGGACUUAUCUUUCUACUACUGUAAUUGAUAUUUGG
rnacentral:lncRNA from 1 species